rnacentral:rRNA from 1 species
GAUGAACGCUGGCGGCGUGCCUAAUACAUGCAAGUCGAGCGAACAGACGAGGAGCUUGCUCCUCUGACGUUAGCGGCGGACGGGUGAGUAACACGUGGAUAACCUACCUAUAAGACUGGGAUAACUUCGGGAAACCGGAGCUAAUACCGGAUAAUAUAUUGAACCGCAUGGUUCAAUAGUGAAAGACGGUUUUGCUGUCACUUAUAGAUGGAUCCGCGCCGCAUUAGCUAGUUGGUAAGGUAACGGCUUACCAAGGCAACGAUGCGUAGCCGACCUGAGAGGGUGAUCGGCCACACUGGAACUGAGACACGGUCCAGACUCCUACGGGAGGCAGCAGUAGGGAAUCUUCCGCAAUGGGCGAAAGCCUGACGGAGCAACGCCGCGUGAGUGAUGAAGGUCUUCGGAUCGUAAAACUCUGUUAUUAGGGAAGAACAAAUGUGUAAGUAACGAUGCACGUCUUGACGGUACCUAAUCAGAAAGCCGCGGCUAACUACGU